GAAUGUGACCUAGUGAGCCUACUGCAGGUGAUGGUUGUUGUGUUCGGAGACUUCCCUCCUGUAUGCAUGCAGUCUCAUCCAGAGCCCGAACAAGAUCCUUGUUGGCUUCAGUUCCACAGACAAGCAGAGGUGCUUUCAAGGACAGAUGGAAGUUUGUAUCUGCAUUUAGCCAGUGAAGAUGAUCUACCUAUCCAGCAAGAAAAUGAAACCAGCUGUUAGCUUUGUGGACUGUUUGUGUGUUGGCUGUGAUGAAGUGUUUUGAUCCUGUGUACAGUGUCAGAUGGUAUCCAUUGAUUAUUUCAAGGUUAUUUCAUUGAUGAUUUCAGAUAAAUAACAGCAUGCUGUAUUUUUGUCAAAUGAUUUAGACUGUAAAUGUCAUGCAGCACCUGAUGAAAAACAUAUUGACCGUGUUUGGUAUGAAUGUAUUGGAUUCUUUUUUUAAAUAUGUACUUCAUUUGAACAUAACAAACUACAACAAACAAAUGUGGCAUUUGAAUGCUUGUGUGUUAAAAGACUCAAAUUGCUUUACAAGCUGUUCAUAAAACCUUAUAUGCACCCUAA